rnacentral:rRNA from 1 species
GAUUGAACGCUGGCGGCAGGCCUAACACAUGCAAGUCGAGCGGAUGAAGGGAGCUUGCUCCUGGAUUCAGCGGCGGACGGGUGAGUAAUGCCUAGGAAUCUGCCUGGUAGUGGGGGAUAACGUCCGGAAACGGGCGCUAAUACCGCAUACGUCCUGAGGGAGAAAGUGGGGGAUCUUCGGACCUCACGCUAUCAGAUGAGCCUAGGUCGGAUUAGCUAGUUGGUGGGGUAAAGGCCUACCAAGGCGACGAUCCGUAACUGGUCUGAGAGGAUGAUCAGUCACACUGGAACUGAGACACGGUCCAGACUCCUACGGGAGGCAGCAGUGGGGAAUAUUGAACAAUGGGCGAAAGCCUGAUCCAGCCAUGCCGCGUGUGUGAAGAAGGUCUUCGGAUUGUAAAGCACUUUAAGUUGGGAGGAAGGGCAGUAAGUUAAUACCUUGCUGUUUUGACGUUACCAACAGAAUAAGCACCGGCUAACUUCGUG